rnacentral:lncRNA from 1 species
UCCUUCACUUUGUGAUUAUUGGUGGUGGACCUACUGGGGUUGAAUUUGCUGCGGAGUUGCAUGAUUUUCUUGUCGAAGAUCUGGUGAAGCUGUAUCCUGCAAUUGCACAAUUUGUGAAGAUAACAAUUAUUCAAUCAGGAGAACAUAUAUUGAAUACGUAAGUCGGUACUAAAUUACCAUAUUAUGAGGGUUGAACGAUCCUGCAGUAAUAGCCAUGGUUCACUUGCAUUGCGUGGUAUAUUCAAAGAACUAUUAUGUCAGGCUCUCAUCGCUAACAACAUGUUUUGGUAUGAAUUAAAAGCCUCCAGGGGAAUUAAUGUAUCGGUAUGUCAGUCUUCGUUCCCAGAUAAUGAGGAUUGUACUGCUGGUUCACAUCUACUCCCUCCGUCCCAUAAUGUAAGACGUUUUUGCAAGCUAUGUUGGUUUACAAAAACAUCUUACAUUAUGGGACAGAGUAGUAGCAGACUAGAAGAUGCAUGCUGCAAGUACUGAGGUCCCCAGCAAAUCUCCUCCUGGAUAAUUCUUAAAUACUCUAAGGAAAAAGUGAAUAACAAUUUGGGAUAUUUUCCAUGUUCAGGAAAACAAUUUAGUCACUAGAAGUGGAAAAUAUAUCCCAGUCACUGAUUCCUUACCAGGAUAGAUAGACCAAAACCACCUUACCCCCAAGCAGUGCCAGUGUAGGAUUAAUUCUUACCAAAUCUUGUUAGUAAUUUUUGGAUUGUGGCGGUUUCUUCCCUGUUAUUCCUCCGCUUCCUUUUCUUUUUAAAAUGAAUGUUCCUAACUGCUAUGAAAUAAUCAUGCUUACUGUAGAUAUUGUGAUUUUGUUGGGGAAUUGGACGCUUGAUUUGACAAGGGAAAAAUUUGCCCACUGUUUCAAUAUCCAUGGCUUUGUUUGUAGCAUCAGUAGAUCUUCUCUUUUCUCCAUGUUUAUUGUGAGAUGAUAUAUCUGUUUCAUUCAUGUAGGUUUGACCAAAGGAUAGCUGUGUUUGCUGAAUCAAAGUUCCAAAGAGAUGGCAUCGAGUUGAGUACAGGAUUCAGAGUGAUAAAGGUCUCCGAUGAUUCAAUUACAGUGAAGUGCAAAUCAUCUGGUGUAGAAACAUUGGUGCCGUAUGGAAUGGCUAUUUGGUCUGCGGGUAUUGGUACUCGCCCCGUCAUUACAGACUUCAUGAAUCAAGUUGGUCAGGUUGUUAAAUCUGAAUCAAAGUAGUGUGUUCAGGUUACCAAGUUAUGUUUAACUUCUAACAUUUUGUUGACGAAUGCAAAUGUUCUCUCUUUCAACAGGGCAAACGACGUGCCUUGGCAACUAAUGAAUGGUUAAGAGUUCCUGAGUGUGAUAGUGUCUAUGCAAUUGGUGACUGUUCUUCAAUAAGUCAAAGGAAAAUAAUGGUAUAUGUAAAGCAUUUCAUAAAUAUUUUUGCACCCUCUUUGCAUUUUCGAACUUCCUAGGCGGAGAUAUCAUAGGAACAGCUACACACACCGCACUCAGAAUUAUCACUGCACUGUUAUGGUUUCUUGGUAGAUCUGUCAUCGGUGUCAAAUUAGUCAUUCUAUUGGUAUGCGUGUACGUUCCAGUUUCCUCCAUAUAAGUAUAGCGAAGUUUAUCACGCUGAAUAAAUAAGCACACUGAACAUCUAAGUUAGCAAAGUUCAGUGCAUGUUUCAUCCUCCCUCUGACACGUUUGCUUUUGUUUUUUGCAGGAGGACAUUUCAACAAUAUUUAAAGUAGCAGACAAGGAUAACUCUGGCACCUUGACACUGAAAGAAAUAAACGAUGUUCUAGAAGAUAUUUGUAUAAGAUACCCUCAAGUAGAACUGUAUAUGAAAAGUAUGCACAUGGUCGACAUUGCUGAUUUGAUAAAAGGUGGCGUAGGUGAUUCCAACAAGGAGUCGAUGGUGGUUAACAUAGAGGAGUUCAAAAAAGCUCUGUGUCAUGUCGACUCCCAAGUUAAAACUGUUCCGGCGACUGCUCAGGUUGUCUCUAUUUCCAUAGAAUACAUUGGUUGAUGAUAUUUUAGAAUAGAUAAUGUUUUGGUCCGUGAACAACCCAUUUGUGUUUGUGCGGAUACUCCCUCAUUGUUUCUCUGAUAUUUGUCAGGUUGCUGCGCAACAAGGGUAUUAUCUUGCUGACUGCUUUAACAAAAAGGAUCACUGCGUAGAGCAUCCAGAAGGUCCGUUGCGCCUGACGGGGUCAGGGGAGGGGCAUCACAAUUUCCGCCCAUUCCGGUAUUUAGCUUCCCGUUACAGCUGUACUCGUACCCUCAUACUCACAUCUUCUUUUAGGCCUGAAAGGCAUAACCUGUACUUCAAACUUUGCACAGCUUUGGGGUCACAUCAUGACUCUAGAGAGUAAUCAAUUGCUGUCAGUGAUUACCUACUUGGAUAGGAGCGGUCUGUACCUAAAAUUGCUUAAUAAAUACUGUUACAUAUGUACAGUUGCUCUUUCAAUUAUGCAGCAUUCAACAAUUAGGAAAUUAGCAAUAUGGUUACCUAAAACCCUCUCGGUUUCUGGUUACCAUACUUAAACCUAUUAUCUCCAUGGCACCUUUCUAGGAAGAACAUGCUUCAGUUGCUAUAUGGUUAUCCUUUGGCUUCAAAGCAACCUAGGUUUGAUUCAUUACUAGAGCAGUGCCAGACUUCUUCACAAACUUUCCCAGUGGGAAUACUGGGAGGGAGUUGUGGCUAGCUUCAUUUUGAUCAUCAGCUCUCGCGUCAUUAUCUUGUACACUUGCUCAUCUUUUGCCCUGGCAUCAAAGGUACAAGCAUCUUGGGCAAUUCGCGCCCUUGGGCGGGGAGCAAGCCGCGGCAGAGCUCCCGGGCGACUGGGUCUCCAUGGGCCACAGCACCCAGUGGCUUUGGUACUCGGUGUACGCAAGGUAAGAACCAUGACUGACCCAUCACCAUCCACCACUCUGUCCGAAGGAAGAAACCAUGGCAACUGAAAUCCGCCUUAUCCACCUUAUUCGCCUUAUCUUCUUCCUGGGUCGUUUAGCCGCAACUGAGAUCGUCCCUUUCCAUGAAUGCAUGAGCAGCAAGCAGGUGAGCUGGCGCACUCGGGUCCUGGUGGUAUCCGACUGGACCCGGAGGUUCAUAUUCGGGAGGGACUCGAGCCGGAUCUAGGCACUCGAUUCCAGGAUGCAAUGCAGCAAGACCUCUCUGUACAGUACGUAUUUGAUUGGGCAAAUAAGCAAGCAAGGCUGUCUGUCUGUUGAUUGUUCCUUCCCUGUCCUGCCAACGGAGCCAUCAUCCUUCGUCUGCUGCAUGUGAAUAUGCGAUGGUCCUCUUCUCUUCUCUGGAUGUGGUUGGUUGUGAAUCUGAACUUCUGGAGCGUACCUGGGGCGACGAACUGACCUAGUGCCCACAGUUCAUUGGUAAAUGUGCAAAAUGCGUGUGAAUUUGGUGUACAUGGCUCUGUUUUUCUUUUUUCUUGUUUUGAACUGGCUCUGCUGAUUUUCGUUCCAUGUUCAUUUCAUUGUUAGUGGACCCCCUCACAUCUUGUGGGGAUAAUUAUAAAGAACAAUGUAGGUUAUUCUCUCCAUUAACAUCGGGUUUUUUUUACGCGUCCAUUAACAUCGGGUUUUUUUUACGCGUCCAUUAACAUCGUUGAUCUGUAUGCAACGUCGCACACGAUGGUUUGUUUGGUAGCAGUAGUCAGUGCUGGUUUACGCUGGAAGAAAACCGCCAAAUAAGAAGUAGAUGCGACUUUGGCCAUCAGUGAGCAGCAGUAGCAGUAACAAGUUAACACAGUACUGUACAUGAUCACUUGGCCAACUCUACGGGUAUCCGUGAGAACGUACAUGAUCACGUGGUGAUUGGCGUGUACGUGUACUGUAUUUGUCUGGUCCUCCUGGCCAGAUGGAUACGAGUGGGGGCUCGGUACAACGUACUUUGUACCACACUGGGCGGGCGUCAGUGACAGUGAAUGAUCCAUCUCCUACGUUAGAUGUACAGGCCAUUCCAGGGUAGAACGAACCUACCACUGCCAGAUAGCUGGGCCCAGUGCAAGCGAUAUUUAACAUGCUCUUUAUACAAAAGUAAAUAAACAAUGUUUGAAUUUUUGGCCGGAAAGAGGACGCAUUUGCCUUGGGGGUUAACCCAAAUUUCCAAAAUGGUGGGCUCUCCCCCUGCUACUGAGAUUAGGUAUGGCAGCUGCGAUCCCAAUGCACUAGAUGUAUAUACCUAUCCGCAAAAGUUAGUGCUUGUCCCCGGAGCUUUUCAGAUUUCAUCAAAGGAGAAGAAGAAAAGAGCAUUUCGAGAAGAACAUGUAGGCCUCCCACCCUAACCCUUUCCAAAAAGAAUGUCUAGUGCAGGCUUGAGGUGUGAGGUUCAAGACAUACCUGAUAGAUAGUUAGAUACACACUACAAUUUUUUGUCUAUGACCUGCCGACUCGCUUUGUUUCGCGGCAUGCCCUAGCAUGUAAGUAGCACAAAUCUUUAGCAAAAUUAAAGAAAGAACACGUUGGUGGUGCUGCUUUUAGCAAAACACUCGUUGCUUUGAUUAACAAUUCUCUAACCAGAAUACUUAAUAACCUCCUGGUUUCCCCUACUAGCUAAGGGUGGAGCUUCCUUAGUGCCAAAGGGGGGCAUAUGCCCCCCUCCCUGUAAAAAUUGCUUAACGUGUCACACGUGGGAAUAGGUAUUUGACAUGUCACGUUACAUUUUUCCAUGAAAAUUCAAAAGAUAGUUGAAUUAAACCAAGAAUUGGAAGGGUAGGAGUGAAAGAUUUAAACUAGAAACUACAAGUAAGCGAAAAUAAUGCUUUUUGUAGCAAUGGUUAUAACAUUGUAAAUUAUAGUGAUCUAAUGCAUCCUUUCAUGCUCAACUCCAUAUUAUAUUUACAAAUAUCAAGAGUACUCAUUGCCAAACAUUUGCAUGGAACAUGCGGGAACCAUCAUGAAGGCUUUAGCUGCAAAGAUUGCACUCAUGGAUACAACAAAAGGGACAUGUGUGACAUCUGCUAAGGGACACAACCUAAUUAUAUGGUAAGUCAUCACUGAGCUUAACUAUUGUUCAAACACCGUGGUAAAGAAAUUAGAAUUUUCUGCAAAAGAGGACUAUGACCAACGGAAUAUGCCAUUUUCUGCAGAUUUGGAAAGGGGACUAUGACCAACUUAUAUAUGACCAACGAAAUAUCCCAUCCACACCCCAGCAAUAUGCCAUUUUGUUCAAUUUAAAAGGGGACUGAUAUCACUGAGCUUAUCCAGCCCACGGAAUAUGCCAUUUUGUUCAAACACCGCUGUAAAGAAAUUAGAAUUUUCCCCUGCAAGUAGAAGUGCACAAUUGUUACUUGUCACUAAAAACGCUAACUAUUGUUAAUGAAAAUGCAUAUUAUUUAUUGUACAAUAUUUUACAACAGCACUUCCAAAUCUGCACCUAACCAUAUAUCAAGUAUUGUUCCUAACAAACUACAUUACAGUAAAUUCCGCCACUCCAUUCUGAACCUAUAUCAAACUACAGUACAAUAAUUUCUGAACCUAUAUCAAACUACAGUACGGUAUUUUCUGAACCUAUAUCAAACUACAGUACAGUAUUUUCUGAACCUAUAUCAAACUACAGUACAGUAUUUUCUGAACCUAUAUCAAACUACAGUACAGUAUUUUUUGAACCUAUAUCAAACUACAGUACACAUUGAUCAUAACAGGAUAAUGCACAGGGGAGCACACAACGACAUCACACAUUGAUCAUAGGCCCAAGCAGGCAUAUUUACGUGGAUGAGGUUCAUGAGCACAUCAGACGAUAGACUACAGAGCACGAACAGGUAGACGUCAACAGAUUGCAAAGCUCGUUUACAUAUAAGCUAAAUGUGCUAUUAUUUCUAGUGAAAAACCAUGAUAUUCCAAUUCCUGUUUGUAAUGUUAAAUACUAAUUAAAGAACUGUGGGGCAGUGCUUCAAAACUUUAAAUUGCAAAAGCAAUAAACCUGGGAAGCAAAGCCUCCAGGACAUGCAUAGGAGGACAACUCACAUCAAAAAUAGAAUAUGACCUUUUAUGCUAGUCAACCAGAAGGCCAAUUGAAUAUACGUAAUUAAUUGCUAUCAAGAGAGCCAAAGCAACACAUGGAUUUCAUUUUUUUAUUGGAUGAAGCGCAUAAUGUAUACUGUAUAAACAAAUUCAAAGUUCAGUUAUGGUCAACCAUACCUUGAUACAAGUAGGUCUAAUAUUGCAAACUGUAACCGCGAUGUCGACAAAAUAAGCUGCACAUCGAGCACUGAAAUAUCAUCUGCACAUCAGAGACCUUGCAGGAUGCUCUAUCCAAUUUGUUGUGAGUCCAGAAUAUGCUCUUUCUUAAGAUUAAAAUCAUAUAGAUAAAAGAUGUACAAAACAACAGACAAUCAAAACCCAGUGCUAGAAGUAAGGCUCCUCAUAGUAAAAAAAAUCAUGUUGAGCAAAUCUUGACCUUUCAGGAUGCUCUAUCCAAGUUGAGAGAUAUUUUAAAGCAGUAAAUGGUGUUUGGAGUAGCACUUGACAAUGGCAUAGGAAUGCUCAUGUGUACAAAUUUCAUGGUAAUUAGAGAAAGUAGCAAAGCUCAGGUGCACAUGGGUCCACAACACCAUAUUGCAAAUCAACCAGAGUAAUAGACAUCAUUACUUUGGAUAACCUAUAGCCGAGUUACAUUGGAUACGGAUGCUACUGCAGUGAAAAUCUUAGUAUCACACCAUUGUUGACAAAAGAUAGGAGGGGCUACUACUGCGUCAUUAUAUUAUUUAUAAGCAAAAAUUUACAUGAGUAAUUCUAAACUCUUAGCUGCCCACAAUCUGAAUUGUCAACAGCCAUAUUCAAUUCCCUUUGAUAACCUAAAGACACCAUGCCCAAUGAGAAGAAGACAAAUGAGAUUAGAGUGCAAGUUACUGAAUCAUAUAUAGGAUAAACACCUCCUGAACCUGUUUUUUCUGAGUAGGGGCCCGCCUCACCUUGUCGUUGUAGCCUACAGGUUGGCGCUUGGGGGGGAGGGGGGGGGGCAUGGAGAGGCCAGGGAUGUGGUUCUCCUGUUGCAAGCGCCGAUUGGAGAUGCAGCAGGCCAAGGGGCUAGCAGCAUCUCACUUCUUCCUCGUCUUUUUUUGGUGGAGACCAAGCCUCUCCUUCUCCUAAGCGCCGUGUAACAGGGGGAGCACGCACCAACGAUCCUCGAGUGCAAUAAAGAAGGAAUGAGUUAGGCGAGAUAAGCAGGGGUGAGGGCGUUAUAUACUGCCAAUUUUUGGAGCAAAGAUAAGCCGAAACUAACAGCGUCAGAUCAACCAAACAUCCAAAACAUCUGAACCUGAGAUGACAACCCAGAGAUCCACAUUCCGUAUAUACUGCCAAUAGUAAAACUAUCCAUCAAACCCAAAUCAGUCACUUAUCAAGCAAAAACAAGCCAAGACUAACUGCAUCCGAUCACCAGAUGCCAUAACACCCAAUCCAACAGCUGCCACAAUAACAAAGAGAUCCCCACUCCGUAUAUUUCACUAAUAUACAAACAGUUGUUAUGUCCAGUUGACCGUUUCUAAAGCAAAGUUAAGUUGAAACUAAAAGCAUCAGACAACCAAAACACCCCAAAUUCCAUAACCUGAGAUCCCAUGGCACCCAGUCCAACAGUGAACCAUCUCAUGAACCUAAUUAAGUAGUGUAUAUAUGAACCUAAACAACAUGACAUAGCUGAACAACAACACGAAUAGCAGCUGCAUGCGGAUCCAAUUGAUAUAUAGUAAACAAAAGGCCCAGAAAAAAAUCACCUCCAGAGGACGUCUCCAAGGAGCAUCAAGUCGCCAUCCUUGUCUCCGUCCUGCUCACCGUCUCCACGAAACUCAUCUCCUUGUUCCCACACUUGCCUGGCUCUGAGAUUCAAAUCGUCAGAAGCCCACCAGAAGAGCAACGCAUCGCGUGCUCGUCUCUGCGGAGCAACGACGCGAUUAGCGGUCUACACAGUCUUCCCAACGGGGAGAGCAGCGGCGUCGGUGGCGGCGAUGGGUGAAAAAGGGAAGGAAAGGCGGUGGGAGCGCGACAAAUCUGAGGCGGCUCACCUCGGUUUGCCCUCUUCCCGGAGGAGCACGAACUUGAGGACACGCUCCGGUCCUCCUCCCGUUGAUGGCGAAGCAGGAGGACGGGCGGCAGCAGUUGGUGGUCGAUCUCCUCUUCCACCGCUACCCGUUGCCCCUCCACAACCCGAGGGCCGGUGGUGAGGAACGAGCACGACGGGGAGAGCGGCGGCGGUGGCAAGCUCGGCCCGACGCGGAGCAGUAGUGGCCGUGUUGCUUCUCGGAGGGCGGCGGCGCGAGGGAAGGCAACGAAGAGAAGGGGAGGGGGCGGCGGCGGCAACACGAGAGAGAGAUGCGAGGGAGAGACGCAGCCCUACCUGUCUCACCGAUUGGGGAGGGAGCAACCAAUGGUGAGAAGCCACUUGGC